CUUUACGUCAAUGUCGUGAUUCUACAUAACAACAUCCGCUUGACCUCGCAAUGCCAAGAAGAAGAAAGGCGUGGAACACAUGCUUAAGCCUGUCAAGAUCUUCAGAUGAUGUUUGAGAAAAAAGUCAUCAUCCUCUUCGUCACUCUUCAUCCGUAUUUGGGGUAACAAACACCUGCUUCCCACAAGAGACUGGACCGCUGAAGUCAGGUGACCUGCACCUUCCUUGAACAUGUUGGUAACUUACUCUGUAUUUGUUCACGGUGGUCACCCCAGGGUCUCAGGACUCAAAACGAGUGCUCUAUGGAUUGAACAGAAAAUGUGGAUCAACACUCCAACCAUCUGCAUUAGGGACUGAAUAAAGGAUGCCCUCUGUAUGGGAAUGUU